AUCACCAAGGUGACUAAAAGAAGAGUACCCUAGAAGCCAAUCACAAGUGUUGUGAUGGAACUUUUCUUUGUAAUUUUCCAACUCAUGUAAUGAUAUUUAUUAAUUGAGGCAUUGAUUCAUCAUUUUAGCUACAUCUUAUUAUGUCUAAGAUUAUGAUGAACCCCAAAGAUUAGGAUAAUGAUUUUAGAAGAUAUGAAUGGGUCAUGCUGGUGAGACCUAAAAUUCUAAAAUUCUAAUCUUAAAUAUUUCUGAUCGUAGGAGCAUUGAGUCAAUGAUCAAUGUUUCGAAUAGACAGGAAC
rnacentral:lncRNA from 1 species